rnacentral:rRNA from 1 species
CCCUUAGAUGUUCUGGGCUGCACGCGCGCUACACUGAUGCGCUCAACGAGUUUAUGACCUUGCCCGGAAGGGUUGGGUAAUCUUUUCAAAACGCAUCGUGAUGGGGAUAGAUUAUUGCAAUUAUUAAUCUUCAACGAGGAAUUCCUAGUAAGCGCGAGUCAUCAGCUCGUGCUGAUUACGUCCCUGCCCUUUGUACACACCGCCCGUCGCCCCUACCGAUUGAGUGAUCCGGUGAAUAAUUCGGACUGCGGCAAUGUUCAGCUCCUGAAUGUUGCUGCGGAAAGUUUAGUGAACCUUAUCACUUAGAGGAAGGAGAAGUCGUAACA